rnacentral:rRNA from 1 species
GACUAACGCUGGCGGCGUGCCUAACACAUGCAAGUCGAACGGUUGAGAGAUAAAAGAUGAUUUAUCAUCUUUUAUCUCUCAAUAGUGGCGAACGGGUGAGUAACACGUGGGUAAUCUGCCCUUUAGUGGGGAAUAACAGAGGGAAACUUCUGCUAAUACCCCAUAUCUUCUUUAAAAGGCAUCUUUUAAAGAAGAAAGACGGCCUCUUUUUAAUGCUGUCGCUGGAGGAUGAGCCCGCGUUCCAUUAGCCAGUAGGUAGGGUAACGGCCUACCUAAGCGAUGAUGGAUAGCCGGCCUGAGAGGGUGGUCGGCCACACUGGGACUGAGAUACGGCCCAGACUCCUACGGGAGGCAGCAGUGGGGAAUUUUGCGCAAUGGGGGGAAACCCUGACGCAGCAACGCCGCGUGAGCGAUGAAGGCCUUCGGGUCGUAAAGCUCUGUCUUAGGGGAAGAAACCUUAAAGGCUAAUACCCUUUAAGCUGACGGUACCCUAAAAGGAAGCCCCGGCUAACUACGUGCCAGCAGCCGCGGUAACACGUAGGGGGCAAGCGUUGUCCGGAAUUAUUGGGCGUAAAGGGCGUGUAGGCGGCCGGUUAAGUCAGUGGUGUAAGGCUUCGGCUCAACCGGAGAAUUGCCAUUGAAACUGGUCGGCUUGAGGGCAGUAGAGGUAAGCGGAAUUCCUGGUGUAGCGGUGAAAUGCGUAGAUAUCAGGAGGAACACCAGUGGCGAAGGCGGCUUACUGGGCUGGCCCUGACGCUGAGGCGCGAAAGCGUGGGGAGCAAACA